rnacentral:rRNA from 1 species
UGGGGAAUAUUGGACAAUGGGCGAAAGCCUGAUCCAGCCAUGCCGCGUGUGUGAAGAAGGUCUUCGGAUUGUAAAGCACUUUAAGUUGGGAGGAAGGGCAGUAAGCGAAUACCUUGCUGUUUUGACGUUACCGACAGAAUAAGCACCGGCUAACUCUGUGCCAGCAGCCGCGGUAAUACAGAGGGUGCAAGCGUUAAUCGGAAUUACUGGGCGUAAAGCGCGCGUAGGUGGUUCGUUAAGUUGAAUGUGAAAGCCCCGGGCUCAACCUGGGAACUGCAUUCAAAACUGGCGAGCUAGAGUAGGGCAGAGGGUGGUGGAAUUUCCUGUGUAGCGGUGAAUUGCGUAGAUAUAGGAAGGAACACCAGUGGCGAAGGCGACCACCUGGGCUCAUACUGACACUGAGGUGCGAAAGCGUGGGGAGCAAACAGG